AGAGGCCCGAUUUGGGUCAUGGGUCUGGGUAUGGUCGGAAGCCGGGGUAUGAACAGCCCGGUUCGGAAUACGGUUCUGGGUAUCGACGGAGACCAGAGUCCGAUGAGCCCAGUUCCGAGUAUGGAUCUGGGUAUGGCCGAAAGCCAGUGUACGAGACGCCUGAACCCGAGUAUGGAUCUGGGUAUGGCCGAAAGCCCGAGUACGAGACGCCUGAACCCGAGUAUGGAUCUGGGUACGGUCGAAAGCCCGAGUACGAGACGCCUGAACCCGAGUAUGGAUCUGGGUACGGGCGAAAGCCCGAGUACGAGGCUCCCGAAUCUGAGCAUGGAUCUGGGUAUGGGCGAAAGCCUGAGUUCGAAGCACCGGGAGCUGGAUUCGGGUCUGGGUAUGAACGGAAGCCGAGUUAUGGCGAGGAGCCUGGUUAUGGAGAUGAGCCGCCGAGAAAGCCAAGCUAUGGGAGGCCCAGUUAUGAGACCUCAGAAAGUGAGGAGAGGACCAAGUAUGAGAGUUCGGGUUAUGGGAAGACUGAGUUUGAGAGACCUGGUUAUGGCGAAGAGCCGCGGAGGAGGCCUAGUUAUGAGAUCCCAGAAAGCGAGGAGAGGCCCAGCUAUGGGAGGCCUGGCUACGGAGAUGAGCCGCCGCCGCCAAGGCCCAGCUAUGGGAGACCUGGCUACGGAGAUGAGCCGCCACCGCCGAGGCCCAGCUAUGGGAGGCCCAGUUAUGAGGGGGAGGAAAGCGCGGAGUAUGAGAAGCCCAGUUAUGGGAGGAGCGAGGAGCAGGAGUACCGCAGGCCUGGUGGUUAUGAGAGGCGCGGUGAUGAUGAUGAAGCUGAGCGUCCUAAGUAUGGUUCUCGUGAGGAAGGCUAUAGUCGCAAGAAAUAUGUGAGAACCUCGAGCUUUAAAACUCCUUUUUUAAUUAUGUGUUUACAUUUAGGCGUCUCUAUGAUAUAAGUUUGAGUCAUGUGGAUUGUUGUUUGUUUGCUUGUCCAUCUUCAUGCAUGCUGUUCAUAAUGUACGUAUCCCCAUUUCCAGUGUGCCAUUAUAUACAUACAAAUCAUGGUAUUUAUAAUGAUCCUCUUUAGCUAAUUUAUCAAUUUGAAUGCAUCAUGGAAAUCAUCUUUUGCGUAUGCAUUGAGUAACUGUUUAUAUUUUUGGUUGGAAAACAUUUUGGAUUGAUCUAUUUGUAUUGGCACUCAUUUAGUAUAAGAUGAGAGCAGAGCUUAUGUGAUUAGUUCUAAACAAUUCAUGUGGUCCAUCUUCAUUACAGUAUCAUAAGUUACAAAUUACAUGCAUAAAAUUUUGGGGGUUGUAGUUGCAAUAAUGAGUCAAAAUAUAUCUUCCAGAGAUAAGACAUCCUGGUUUUGUUUUCUGGUUUUUAUCACCAUUUGAAUCCGAAAACAUUUCUAAUCCUUCUCAAGGCACAAACUUUUUUCUCAAGCUCGAAUCUCUGAAGGUGACUUUAGGUCUAUGAUGUUUCUAUAUCCUCCUCCUAAUGCUUUGGCUUGUGGAUCAUUUGGAUAAAUUCUUGGUGAAAACUGUUUACUCUGUUGUAAGUUCAAUGCUGUUGGUGAGGGGAUCUAAUAGAUGCAUGUAGUGUAGUAGCUGCGCCUCUGGUGAAGGUGGUUUAAAAGUGUAGAACACGUACCUGUUUUUCGAACCCUGUUGGUUAUUUUUAUUUUAUUUUAUCUGAUUCUCUCAAAUGAAUAUGGCAGGGAAAUGACAACUCGGAUGAGGAUGAUGAUGAUGAGGAGAAAAAACGACGUCACCACAAGCACCACCACCGCAAGAGCUAUGAUGAUGAAUGAUCAUAAUCCUUGCCCCUUAAGGGGAUGCAUGCCAUAGCCAUAGCCAUACUUUGAUGCUAAAUAAAGGGUUUGGGCGUGUAUUUCCUUUGAGUGGUAUUCUCUAUUACAUGUUUGAGUAUCCUAAGCUCUAAACUCAAAUCUCAGGUUUGAGUGUCUG
rnacentral:lncRNA from 1 species